GUCGAGCGAAGCGCUUAAAAUGGAAUCUUCGGAUGAAGAUUUAUGUGACUGAGCGGCGGACGGGUGAGUAACGCGUGGGCAACCUGCCUUACACAGGGGGAUAACAGUUAGAAAUGACUGCUAAUACCGCAUAAGACCACAGGACUGCAUGGUCCGGUGGUAAAAACUCCGGUGGUGUAAGAUGGGCCCGCGUCUGAUUAGGUAGUUGGCGGGGUAACGGCCCACCAAGCCGACGAUCAGUAGCCGACCUGAGAGGGUGACCGGCCACAUUGGGACUGAGACACGGCCCAGACUCCUACGGGAGGCAGCAGUGGGGAAUAUUGCACAAUGGGGGAAACCCUGAUGCAGCGACGCCGCGUGAGCGAUGAAGUAUUUCGGUAUGUAAAGCUCUAUCAGCAGGGAAGAAAAUGACGGUACCUGACUAAGAAGCCCCGGCUAACUACGUGCCAGCAGCCGCGGUAAUACGUAGGGGGCAAGCGUUAUCCGGAUUUACUGGGUGUAAAGGGAGCGUAGACGGCGGUGCAAGCCAGAUGUGAAAGCCCGGGGCUCAACCCCGGGACUGCAUUUGGAACUGUGCUGCUAGAGUGUCGGAGAGGCAGGCGGAAUUCCUAGUGUAGCGGUGAAAUGCGUAGAUAUUAGGAGGAACACCAGUGGC
rnacentral:rRNA from 1 species